rnacentral:misc_RNA from 1 species
GAUGAAGAACGUAGUGAAAUGCGAUAAGUAAUGUGAAUUGCAGAAUUCAGUGAAUCAUCGAAUCUUUGAACGCACAUUGCGCCCUCUGGUAUUCCGGGGGGCAUGCCUGUUCGAGCGUCAUUAUAACCACUCAAGCUCUCGCUUGGUAUUGGAGUUCGCGAUCUCGCGGCUCCUAAAAUCAGUGGCGGUGCCUGUCGGCUCUACGCGUAGUAAUACUCCUCGCGAUUGAGUCCGGUAGGUUUACUUGCCAGCAACCCCCAAUUUUUACAGGUUGACCUCGGAUCAGGUAGGGAUACCCGCUGAACUUAAGAAUAUCAAUAAGCGGAGGA